rnacentral:rRNA from 1 species
UGGGGAAUCUUGGACAAUGGGCGCAAGCCUGAUCCAGCCAUGCCGCGUGAGUGACGAAGGCCUUAGGGUUGUAAAGCUCUUUUGCCGGGGACGAUAAUGACGGUACCCGGAGAAUAAGUCCCGGCUAACUUCGUGCCAGCAGCCGCGGUAAUACGAAGGGGACUAGCGUUGUUCGGAAUUACUGGGCGUAAAGCGCACGUAGGCGGAUUUGUAAGUCAGGGGUGAAAUCCCGGGGCUCAACCUCGGAACUGCCUUUGAUACUGCAAAUCUCAAGUCCGAUAGAGGUGGGUGGAAUUCCUAGUGUAGAGGUGAAAGUCGUAGAUAUUAGGAAGAACAACGGCGGCGGAGGCGGCCCACUGGAUCGAUACUGACGCUGAGGUGCGAAAGCGUGGGGAGCAAACAGG